rfam:Gossypium raimondii Chr02_contig_824, whole genome shotgun sequence.
AAUUCUGUGAUGAGGACACUUACAAAGUAACUCCUUGAAUCUUUCUUAUGCCUCGUACAAGGAUUCGUCAUCCAAUUGUGAAAAAGUGGUUAUCUUAUUUGGCAACU